GGGGGCGACUUGGCUUCGACGCCGGUUGCAAGGCCCAAGGUGCAUGCCGAGAGGGUAGUGACUCUCGUAAAUCAAUCGCUGCAACUACUAUAGUUGCCAACGACGAAACCUACGCCCUGGCCGCUUAAGCCGGCCAGCCUUCGACCAGACUGUGCUUGUGCAGAUCUGGAAUUCGGAGGUCACACAAUCACAAGAUCGCAGCGGCGCUCGCCUGGGGCAAGGCUGUCAAAAAACUCCAGGACCAUCGAAGACAACCCUGUCGGUCGGGUCGUCUUCGGUCAGAUCAAUAGACCAGACUAAGCAUGUAGAUCUGAGGGUUGAGGACUGACGGACGCGGGUUCGAUUCCCGCCGCCUCCACCA
rnacentral:tmRNA from 1 species